rnacentral:lncRNA from 1 species
CUGCUGCUGCUGCUGCUGCUGUCCCUGCUGUCCCUUCUGUCCCUGCUGCUUCUGCUGCUGCUUCUUCUUCUGCUGCUGCUGCUUCUGCUGCUUCUGCUGCUUCUGCUGCUUCUUCUGCUGCUGCUUCUUCUUCUUCUGCUGCUGCUUCUUCUUCUUCUGCUGCUGCUUCUGCUGCUUCUGCUGCUUCUGCUGCUUCUUCUGCUGCUGCUUCUUCUUCUUCUGCUGCUGCUUCUUCUUCUUCUUCUGCUGCUUCUGCUGCUUCUGCUGCUUCUUCUGCUGCUGCUUCUUCUUCUUCUGCUGCUGCUGCUUCUUCUUCUGCUGCUGCUGCUGCUUCUUCUUCUUCUGCUGCUGCUUCUUCUUCUUCUGCUGCUGCUGCUGCUUCUUCUUCUUCUGCUGCUGCUGCUGCUUCUUCUUCUGCUGCUGCUGCUUCUGCUGCUUCUGCUGCUCCUCCUGCUGCUUCUUCUUCUUCUGCUGCUGCUGCUGCUGCUUCUUCUGCUGCUUCUGCUCCUGCUGCUGCUGCUGCUGUCCCUGCUGUCCCUUCUGUCCCUGCUGUCCCUGCUGCUUCUGCUGCUGCUGCUGCUUCUGCUGCUGCUUCUUCUUCUUCUGCUGCUUCUGCUGCUGCUUCUGGUGCUGUCCCUGCUGCUGCUGCUGCUUCUUCUGCUGCUUCUGCUUCUGCUUCUGCUGCUGCUUCUGCUGCUCCUGCUGCUGCUGCUGCUGUCCCUGCUGUCCCUUCUGUCCCUGCUGCUUCUGGUGCUUCUGCUGCUGCUGCUGCUUCUUCUUCUUCUUCUUCCUCUUCUUCUUCUUCUUCUUCCUCUUCUUCUUCUUCUUCUUCUUCUGCUGCUGCUGCUGCUCCUGUCCCUGCUGUCCCUGCUGCUGCUGUCCCUGCUGUCCCAGGGCUCUGUCCCUGCUGUCCCCACUGUCCCUGCUGUCCCUGUCCCUGCUGUCCCCCCAUGCACCAGCCCUCUCCUCUCACAGGGGCACAUUUUACCAUGCAGGAAAUUGGGUAUU